rnacentral:rRNA from 1 species
UACGAAGGGUGCAAGCGUUACUCGGAAUUACUGGGCGUAAAGGGCGCGUAGGCGGCGCCGCAAGUCGGAUGUGAAAUCUCUGGGCUUAACCCAGAAAGGUCAACCGAUACUGCGGGGCUAGAGUGCAGAAGGGGCAACUGGAAUUCUCGGUGUAGCGGUGAAAUGCGUAGAUAUCAAGAGGAACACCUGCGGCGAAGGCGGGUUGCUGGGCUGACACUGACGCUGAUGCGCGAAAGCUAGGGGAGCGAACGGG